UCCCUGGAGGUCCAGUGGUUAAGACUCUGUGCUUCUAAAGCAGAGGAUGUGGGUUUGAUUCCUGGUCAGGGAA
rnacentral:tRNA from 1 species